GCCUUAUUUUGUUUUUAAUUGUAAUUUGUUGGGUUUUUUUUUUGUUAUUGGGCCUCUUUAUUUUUACAAAAAAUAAAAAUAAAAAAUAGGGCAAAUGCCCAAUCUUAUAUGGGUUCACUUGGUUCGCUGAAUCAGCCCCCAAACGAAUUUCAAUUGCAAUGAAAAAGGAAACUGGCAAUGCAAUCGUGCAAACCCUGUCCGCUAUCUCUAUUCUAAACAUCUCAAUCCUUCCCUUGAAUUCUCGCACCCAACCCCUGCCCUGUGACGAUGUGGUCUGUUGUCGACUAUCGAUGCCUAGCUUCUUCGGUCUUCACCACUGGCCUUCGCUGUUGUGAGGUAGUGAAUUUACUGCCUCUAUUUUUUAUUUUUUUUCUUUUGUGUGGUUUUUGUUCUUUUAGAGUUUAGUUCAUUUUUUUUAUUUAUCAUUUAUGAUUUAUUCUUUAUGAGUUAUGGAUGUGUUUUUGAGAUUGUUGACUAUGGGGAUUUAGAUUUUUGAGAAUUGGGGAUUUUGUGAAUUCGAGAAUAUUUGAUAUACAUGGACAGUGAAUAUGAUUUGUAAUAAAUGACAAUGAUAAAUUGAAGAAUUUGUAUGAUAAAUAAUAAGUUGUUGGAAAUUGGAAACUUAAACUUGGUGAUAGUUUUAUUUGUGAUUUACUUUUAUGAAAAUUGGGAGUUUAUAUUUUAGGCAUUUACAUAUAUAUUGAAUAAUUUUUAAUAUUUUUUUAAUUAAAUAUUAAUAAACAAUCUUGAUAUUACGACUGUUGAUUACCAACAGUCAACGAUCAACGGUUGCACUAUCUGAAUCCUAUUGUGGCUGCAUGUGCAGCACCUUAAGAAAGGGA
rnacentral:lncRNA from 1 species